GACGAACGCUGGCGGCGUGCUUAACACAUGCAAGUCGAACGGAAAGGCCCUGCUUUUGUGGGGUGCUCGAGUGGCGAACGGGUGAGUAACACGUGAGUAACCUGCCCUUGACUUUGGGAUAACUUCAGGAAACUGGGGCUAAUACCGGAUAGGAGCUCCUGCUGCAUGGUGGGGGUUGGAAAGUUUCGGCGGUUGGGGAUGGACUCGCGGCUUAUCAGCUUGUUGGUGGGGUAGUGGCUUACCAAGGCUUUGACGGGUAGCCGGCCUGAGAGGGUGACCGGCCACAUUGGGACUGAGAUACGGCCCAGACUCCUACGGGAGGCAGCAGUGGGGAAUAUUGCACAAUGGGCGGAAGCCUGAUGCAGCAACGCCGCGUGCGGGAUGACGGCCUUCGGGUUGUAAACCGCUUUCGCCUGUGACGAAGCGUGAGUGACGGUAAUGGGUAAAGAAGCACCGGCUAACUACGUGCCAGCAGCCGCGGUGAUACGUAGGGUGCGAGCGUUGUCCGGAUUUAUUGGGCGUAAAGGGCUCGCAGGUGGUUGAUCGCGUCGGAAGUGUAAUCUUGGGGCUUAACCCUGAGCGUGCUUUCGAUACGGGUUGACUUGAGGAAGGUAGGGGAGAAUGGAAUUCCUGGUGGAGCGGUGGAAUGCGCAGAUAUCAGGAGGAACACCAGUGGCGAAGGCGGUUCUCUGGGCCUUUCCUGACGCUGAGGAGCGAAAGCGUGGGGAGCGAACAGGCUUAGAUACCCUGGUAGUCCACGCUGUAAACGGUGGGUACUAGGUGUGGGGUCCAUUCCACGGGUUCCGUGCCGUAGCUAACGCUUUAAGUACCCCGCCUGGGGAGUACGGCCGCAAGGCUAAAACUCAAAGGAAUUGACGGGGCCCCGCACAAGCGGCGGAGCAUGCGGAUUAAUUCGAUGCAACGCGUAGAACCUUACCUGGGUUUGACAUGGAUCGGGAGCGCUCAGAGAUGGGUGUGCCUCUUUUGGGGUCGGUUCACAGGUGGUGCAUGGCUGUCGUCAGCUCGUGUCGUGAGAUGUUGGGUUAAGUCCCGCAACGAGCGCAACCCUUGUUCACUGUUGCCAGCACGUUAUGGUGGGGACUCAGUGGAGACCGCCGGGGUCAACUCGGAGGAAGGUGGGGAUGACGUCAAGUCAUCAUGCCCCUUAUGUCCAGGGCUUCACGCAUGCUACAAUGGCUGGUACAGAGAGUGGCGAGCCUGUGAGGGUGAGCGAAUCUCGGAAAGCCGGUCUCAGUUCGGAUUGGGGUCUGCAACUCGACCUCAUGAAGUCGGAGUCGCUAGUAAUCGCAGAUCAGCAACGCUGCGGUGAAUACGUUCCCGGGGCU
rnacentral:rRNA from 1 species